GAAAUGCGAUACGUAGUGUGAAUUGCAGAAUUCAGUGAAUCAUCGAAUCUUAGAACGCACAUUGCGCCCUUUGGUAUUCCAAAGGGCAUGCCUGUUCGAGCGUCAUUUGUACCCUCAAGCUUUGCUUGGUGUUGGGCGUCUUUUGUCUUUGGCCUCGCCCAAAGACUCGCCUUAAAACGAUUGGCAGCCGGCCUACUGGUUUCGCAGCGCAGCACAUUUUUGCGCUUGCAAUCAGCACAAGGACGGCAAUCCAUCAAGACUACAUUUUUACGUUUGACCUCGGAUCAGGUAGGGAUACCCGCUGAACUUAAGC
rnacentral:misc_RNA from 1 species